rnacentral:ncRNA from 14 species
CGUGUAGCUCAGCUUGGUUAAAGCGCUGGUCCGAUAAACCAGAAGUCCUCGGUUCGAGCCCGAGU